rnacentral:lncRNA from 1 species
CAUUGGGACUUUCCCUCUCAGACAUUUAUUGGUUCAUUCAUUCGUUCAUUUUGCUUUAACUCACAGUGGCCCCCAUCCUAAGGUGCACUGCUGGCAUUGGUUUAUGUGUUGAUGAUGUUCUCCUUAUCUUCAGAGUAGAGACGGAGUUUCACCGUGUUAGCCAGAAUGGUCUUGAUCUCCUGACCUCGUGAUCCGCCCGCCUCGGCCUCCCAAAGUGCUGGGAUUACAGGCGUGAGCCACUGCGCCUGGCCGUUCCCUGGGUCUUUUAAAUGGUGUAAGUUGAGUGGUGGUAGAUUCUAGGACAGUUCAGUAGGAGUCCAUCCUCAAAAGGAAAAUAACAGAACUUCCUGAUAAUCUGGUAUGGGGCU